AUGUCCUCAAUGACUAUUAUGCUGCUUGGAAUGCUCUUCACAGUGAGAGGAAUGGGAGCCCAGUCAGUGACCCAGCCUGACGACCACAUCACUGUUUCUGAAGGAGCCCCUCUGGAGCUGAAGUGCAAUUUUUCCUAUAGUACAUCUCUUUAUUUCUUCUGGUACGUCCAGUACCCCAGCCAAGGCCUCCAGCUUCUCCUCAAGUACAUAACAGGAGAUAACAGGAUGGUUAAAGGCAUCAAAGGUUUUGAGGCUGAAUUUAGGAAGAGUGAAACCACUUUCCACCUGAGGAAACCAUCAACCUAUUUGAACGACUCAGCUGAGUACUUCUGUGCUCUGGGUGACACAGUGACUGAGACUGCAGGGGGAGCUGAACACAAACCUCUGAGUCACUGGGGUCUUCAGAGACUCAAUGAUACAGCCUGA